rnacentral:rRNA from 1 species
ACUUCUACGGGAGGCAGCAGUGGGGAAUAUUGCACAAUGGGGGAAACCCUGAUGCAGCAACGCCGCGUGAGUGAUGACGGCCUUCGGGUUGUAAAGCUCUGUCUUCAGGGACGAUAAUGAC